GUAGGUGGCAAGCGUUGUCCGGAAUUAUUGGGCGUAAAGCGCGCGCAGGUGGUUCUUUAAGUCUGAUGUGAAAGCCCCCGGCUCAACCGGGGAGGGUCAUUGGAAACUGGGGAACUUGAGUGCAGGAGAGGAAAGUGGAAUUCCACGUGUAGCGGUGAAAUGCGUAGAUAUGUGGAGGAACACCAGUGGCGAAGGCGACCUUCUGGCCUGUAACUGACACUGAGGCGCGAAAGCGUGGGGAGCAAACAGGGAUUAGAUACCCUGGUAGUCCACGCCGUAAACGAUGAGUGCUAAGUGUUGGGGGGGUUUCCGCCCCCUCAGUGCUGCAGCUAACGCAUUAAGCACUCCGCCUGGGAGUACGGUCGCAAGACUGA
rnacentral:rRNA from 1 species